rnacentral:tRNA from 1 species
UGUCAAGGGAUGGGAAUCGAACCCACGACCUUCCGCUUGCCGGGCAGAUGCCAUGACCACUAGGCUACCCUGGAC